AGAGUUUGAUCCUGGCUCAGAACGAACGCUGGCGGCGUGGUUUAGGCAUGCAAGUCGAACGAUUCUUGAUGGAUUCACUUGGUCGCAAGAUUGAGUGAAUUUGUUAAGAAGAGUGGCAAAAGGGUGAGUAACGCGCGAGUAAUCAACCCUCAAGAUGCGGACAACCCUGUGAAAACGGGGCUAAUACGCAAUAGUACCCUUGAGACAUAAGUCUUAAGGUUUAAAGGUGGGGACCCGCAAGGGCCUGCCACUUGAGGACGAGCUCACGCCCUAUCAGCUAGUUGGUGAGGUAACGGCUCACCAAGGCUUUUGACGGGUAGCUGGUCUAAGAGGAUGGUCAGCCACACUGGGACUGAGACACUGCCCAGACUCCUACGGGAGGCUGCAGUCGAGAAUCUUUAGCAAUGCCCUAACGGGUGACUAUGCGACGCCGCGUGAGCGAUGAAGGCCCUUGGGUCGUAAAGCUCUGACAGAGGGAAAGAAAUGCAGGGGAGCUAAUAUCUCCUUUGCUUGACGGUACCCUCAAAGGAAGCACCGGCUAACUCCGUGCCAGCAGCCGCGGUAAUACGGGGGGUGCAAGCGUUGUUCGGAUUUAUUGGGCGUAAAGCGCGUGUAGGCGGUUUGGUAAGUCUGAUGUGAAAGCCCUGGGCUCAACCCGGGAAGUGCAUUGGAUACUGUCAGACUUGAAUACGGGAGAGGGCAGUGGAAUUCCUAGUGUAGGAGUGAAAUCCGUAGAUAUUAGGAGGAACACCGGUGGCGAAGGCGGCUGCCUGGACCGAUAUUGACGCUGAGACGCGAAAGCGUGGGUAGCAAACAGGAUUAGAUACCCUGGUAGUCC
rnacentral:rRNA from 1 species